UUCCUUCCACAGUCCUUGGGAUGGAUGGAAAAGUGGUUGGGGGCGGGAAUAAAGGGAGGGGGAAAGGGUCAGCGGCGACAGGAUUCGGCCCGGGCGAGGGCCAAGGGCAGUUCUCGCGAGAGCUCGAAGUCAACGUGGCGGCGGCGGUUGAGGCGGCGCUUCGUUCGUCGGCCGGAGAUGAAGCCCAGGCCCGGACGCCUCGUGGACCGCAGGCUGAAGCAGCGGAUCGUCCAGUACUUAACCAGUCACAGAUAUGACAAAUAUGUGGACAUUGGAGUCUUAGCAGCUGAUUUGCAAAGAAUGUACAGUGUAGACUACGGUAGAAGAAAAAGAAAUGCCUUUCGAAUUCAAGUAGAAAAAGUGUUCGGCAUAGUCAAUAGUGAGAGAGAACUUGAAGGCCUAACAAGGUUGGAAGAUGAGCAUUUGGCAAAAAGAGCAAAGCAAACACAUGAGAAUAAUGAAUGCGUUGAAAGCUAUUCAGAUGACGACUCAGAUGCUGAAGAUUAUCCAGAUCAUCCAUCCAGAAAUCACAUGAACAGCUCUUUACUGUCCUUAUACCGUAAAGAAAAUGUAGACUCUGUUCCAGCAACAUCUGUUACUGAGCCAGCAGCCAACAACAGCCCAACAUCAUUGGCCACCCCUAAAAGAGAUUCCUCCCUGCCAAAGAUCCCUGCUUUUACCAAGGUCUCUGAAGGUGGUUGGUUCAUUGACAGAACCCCAGGUGGAAAAGAAGACAAUUUCUUUGAUCUUUCAGAGGAGGAUGAAGGUGAUCAUAAAAAGUUGGCUUCAGAGAGAGAAAGGAAAAAAAAGGGUAGGCUGAAGAGAGGGAAAAGAAGGCAGGAAACCCUUCAGGAAGUGGAUGGAGAAAUAGAAGAUGUUUUGCGAAAGAAAGCUAAAUCCACAGGGCUACAGCUGCAGAUCUCUGCUUUGAAGUUUGAAGAUGUGGGAGGCAAUGAUGCAACCCUAAAGGAAGUAUGCAAGAUGCUGAUCCAUAUGCGUCAUCCUGAAGUAUACCACCACUUGGGUGUGGUUCCACCUAGGGGAUUUCUUUUGCAUGGACCACCGGGGUGUGGAAAAACAUUACUUGCACAGGCAAUUGCUGGGGAACUUGACUUGCCAAUUCUCAAAAUAGCUGCUACGGAGAUUGUAUCCGGAGUAUCUGGAGAAUCUGAACAGAAGCUGAGAGAGCUCUUUGAACAAGCUGUGUCAAGUGCACCGUGUAUCCUAUUUAUUGAUGAGAUUGAUGCUAUCACUCCAAAAAGAGAAGUUGCUUCAAAAGAUAUGGAAAGGAGAAUUGUAGCCCAGCUUCUAACCUGCAUGGAUGACCUGAAUAGCUUGGCUGCUACUGCUCAGGUCCUGGUCAUUGGGGCGACAAACAGACCGGACUCACUGGACCCUGCACUGAGACGAGCUGGAAGAUUUGACCGAGAGAUUUGCCUAGGAAUUCCGGAUGAGGCAUCUAGGGAAAGAAUUCUUCAGACAUUGUGCAGAAAGCUGAGGCUCCCCCAGUCUUUUGACUUUCACCACUUAGCCCAUCAGACACCGGGCUAUGUUGGUGCUGACCUUAUGGCACUGUGUCGGGAAGCAGCUAUGUGUGCUGUGAACAGAGUCCUAAUAAACCUCGGGGAGCAGAAGGGGCAGCAUUUACAGGCAGGAGGUUCAUCUUGUGAAGGAGACCAGGCCGCGUUGAUGGAAACUGAGGAGGGGGUCAAGAAGGCAGAGCUUUCUGUACAGGGUGAAUUACAAAAGCUGCUGGAGUUGCUAAAGGAGCAAAGCCCCCUCCUCGAGGAACAGCUGCAAAUGCUGUGCAUUGAGAUGAAUGAUUUCACUGUUGCUCUGUCCUCAGUUCAGCCCUCUGCCAAGAGAGAAGGCUUUGUCACUGUCCCCAAUGUGACAUGGGCAGAUAUUGGGGCUCUAGAAGAUAUCCGCGAGGAGCUCACUAUGGCCAUAUUGGCUCCUGUGCGUAACCCAGAGCAGUUUAAAGCCCUUGGAUUACUGGCCCCUGCUGGGAUCCUUCUUGCUGGUCCACCUGGCUGUGGUAAAACCCUACUAGCAAAGGCAGUGGCAAAUGAGUCUGGACUGAAUUUCAUUUCUGUGAAAGGUCCUGAGUUACUAAAUAUGUACGUUGGUGAGAGCGAGCGUGCUGUGAGACAGGUUUUCCAGCGAGCCAGGAACUCUGCACCCUGCGUGAUAUUCUUUGAUGAAGUAGAUGCCUUGUGCCCUCGACGGUCAGACCGAGAGUCAGGUGCCAGUGUCCGAGUGGUUAAUCAGCUGCUUACAGAGAUGGAUGGACUGGAGACACGGCAGCAGGUUUUCAUUAUGGCAGCCACCAACCGGCCAGAUAUUAUUGACCCAGCUAUCCUUCGUCCUGGCCGCCUGGAUAAAACACUUUUUGUGGGCUUACCACCUCCUGCAGAUCGUUUUGCCAUCCUAAGAACCAUCACAAAAUAUGGUACUAGACCCCCACUGGAUAUCGACGUGAGCCUGGAAGAGAUUGCUUAUGACCCACGCUGUGAUUGCUAUACAGGGGCCGAUCUCUCCGCUCUAAUUCGGGAAGCUUCUGUCUGUGCCUUGAAGCAGGAAAUGGCAAGCCAGAAAAGCGGGAAUGUUAAAGGAGAAAUCAAGAUUGGCCAAAAGCAUUUUCAGGAAGCUUUUAAGAAAGUAAAAUCUUCAGUAUCAAAAAAGGGGGGUUCUUGAGGAAGGACGGUUGAAAAAGCCAGUUCAUCAGAGUGAUUUGAACCAAGACAGAUUCAGAUCAUGAAAAUUUGAGUAGCCAGACAUAAUGAGAUUUGCUUCUCUAACUGGAUCGAGUGAUGUAUGAAUCCCUGCGGCAGUCCCUGAGCCGGUGAUAUCCAGGACCAGGUGAUCUCCAAAGGAAAACGGUGACAUUGUUCCAUCUCCAAAGAAAAGCGGUGAUAUUGUUCCAUCAGGGACACCCGGCACCAGCUGGGCCGGGGACACCCUUUCCCUCUUCCCGGCCCCAGGCCCCCAGGGGAGCAUUUUAACACCAAAUGAUGAGAACCAACUGCAGCCGAAGCUUCCUCUGGGAGCCAAACAGAACCUCCUCCAGAAGCAGGCUGUCAUUUCACUUUUGAGAAAAGUAAAAACUGAACUGAAAGCAA